rnacentral:sRNA from 1 species
UGAGCGGUAUCGUAAAGCCUGGUGACAUUGGCUGUCCGUAGGACAGACCUAGCUGUUUCUGAAAUGAAAUGGGUCAGACUGAAAUCGGUGCCCAGGGUGAGCCGCUCC